GACGAACGCUGGCGGCGUGCCUAACACAUGCAAGUUGAGCGACGAACCAGGGCUUGCCCUGGGGCAAAGCAGCGAACGGGUGAGUAACACGUGGGUAACCUACCCCGAUAACCGGGACAACCCGAGGAAACUCGGGCUAAUACCGGAUGUGCUCACUGGACUUCGGUUCAGUGCGUAAAGGAAGCUUCGGCCUCCGUAUCGGGAGGGGCCCGCGGCCCAUUAGUUUGUUGGUGAGGUAACGGCUCACCAAGACCGCGAUGGGUAGCUGGUCUGAGAGGACGAUCAGACACACUGGGACUGAGACACGGCCCAGACUCCUACGGGAGGCAGCAGUGGGGAAUCUUGCGCAAAGCGCGAAAGCGUGACGCAGCAACGCCGCGUGGGGGAAGAAGGCCUUCGGGUUGUAAACCCCUUUCAGGAGGGACGAAGGUUCGGCGGUGAAUAGCCGUCCGGACUGACGGUACCCCCACAAGAAGCCCCGGCUAACUACGUG
rnacentral:rRNA from 1 species